UACGGGGGGGGGAAGCGUUGUUCGGAAUUACUGGGCGUAAAGGGCUCGUAGGCGGCCAACUAAGUCAGACGUGAAAUCCCUCAGCUUAACUGGGGAACUGCGUCCGAUACUGGAUGGCUCGAGUUUGGGAGAGGGAUGCGGAAUUCCAGGUGUAGCGGUGAAAUGCGUAGAUAUCUGGAGGAACACCGGUGGCGAAGGCGGCAUCCUGGACCAACACUGACACUGAGGAGCGAAAGCCAGGGGAGCAAACGGG
rnacentral:rRNA from 1 species